AUGCUUCUUCUUUUUAAUGUCUUUUGUGAAAAUAAGGAUUCCGAUAAUUGUGCUCAAGUGCUAGAAGAAGAAUGCAUUAGAAUGUUUGGCACUAAAUAUUUGAAUGAUGAGCAUGAUUGCAAUGUUGUUAGUAUGAAUUCCUCGAAUAUCCAUGAUGCUAAUGAUAUGCAAAGCCACAAGCUUGGGGAAGCUAUGUUUGAUGAAGAUGAUAUUUUUUGUCCCCCAAGUUUUGAUGAGCAAAUUUAUUAUGAUGAAAGCAUGCCUCCUAUUUAUGAUGAUUAUAUUGAUGAAAGUGGAUUUGGAGAGGUCAUGACUUUAUUUAGUGAUGAAUCCACUAUUUCGGAAGAGGAUCCAAUUGAUUAUGAGAACAAAGUUGCUAUCUAUGAUGAUUAUUGUGAUGACUUGUAUGCUAUAAAGAAUAAUGAUAACCAUGAAACUUGUCAUCAUGAUUUUAGUCUUCAAUUGGAUUAUGCCUCACAUGAUAAUUAUUUUGUUGAGGUUGCUCCCACUACUAUUCUGAAUGAGAAGAAUUUUGCUUAUGUGGAGAGUAGUAAAUUUUCUAUGCUUGUAGAUCAUGAAAAGAAUGCUUUAGGUGCUGGUUAUAUUGUUGAAUUCAUUCAUGAUGCUAAUGAAAAUUACUAUGAGGGAGGAACAUAUGCUUGUAGGAAUUGCAAUAAUAUCAAGUUCCCUCUCUAUGUGCUUAAAGUUUUGAAGUUAUGCUUGUUUUUCCCUCCUAUGCUAGUUGAUUAUGGUUCCCACAAGUUGUUUUCUCACAAAAUCCCUAUUCAUAGGAAGUGGGUUAGACUUAAAUGUGCUAGUCAUAUUCUUCAUGAUGCUCUCUUUAUGUUACAAUUCUUAUCUUUUAUGUGA
rnacentral:rRNA from 1 species